rnacentral:tRNA from 1 species
GCCCGGGUGGCGAAAUGGCAGACGCAGAGGGCUUAAACCCCUCAGCUCCGAAAGGGGCGUGCGGGUUCGAGUCCCGCCCCGGGCA